CCUACGGGAGACAGCAGUGAGGAAUAUUGGUCAAUGGACGAGAGUCUGAACCAGCCAAGUAGCGUGAAGGAUGACUGCCCUAUGGGUUGUAAACUUCUUUUAUAAGGGAAUAAAACGAGGCACGUGUGCCUUUUUGCAUGUACUUUAUGAAUAAGGAUCGGCUAACUCCGUGCCAGCAGCCGCGGUAAUACGGAGGAUCCGAGCGUUAUCCGGAUUUAUUGGGUUUAAAGGGAGCGUAGAUGGGUUGUUAAGUCAGUGGUGAAAGUUUGCGGCUCAACCGUAAAAUUGCAAUUGAUACUGGCAGUCUUGAGUAGAGGUGAGGUAUGCGGAAUGCGUGGUGUAGCGGUGAAAUGCUUAGAUAUCGCGAAGAACCCCGAUUGCGAAGGCAGCUUACUAACCUGUCACUGACAUUGAUGCACGAAAGUGUGGGUAUCAAACAGGAUUAGAUACCCGAGUAGUC
rnacentral:rRNA from 1 species